CCUACGGGAGGCAGCAGUGGGGAAUAUUGCACAAUGGGGGAAACCCUGAUGCAGCGACGCCGCGUGCGUGAAGAAGUCUCUCGGUACGUUAAGCUCUUUCUGUAGGGAAGAAAAUGACGGUACCUGACUAAGAUUCCCCGUCUAACUACGUGCAAGCAGCCGUGGUAAGAUGUCGGGGGCCAGCGUUAUCCGGAUGUACUGGGUGUUAAGGGGGCGUAGUCGGCAGCACAAGUCUGGAGUGAAAUCCCGGGGCUUAACCUCGGCACUGCUGUGGAAACUGUGCGGCUGGAGUGCAGGAGGGGUAGGCGGAAUUCCUGGUGUAGCGGUGAAAUGCGUAGAUAUUAGGAAGAACACCGAUGGCGAAGGCAGCUUACUGGAGUGUAACUGACGGUGAGGCUCGAAAGCGUGGGGAGCGAACAGGAUUAGAUACCCCAGUAGUC
rnacentral:rRNA from 1 species